AGUGAACGCUGGCGGUAGGCCUAACACAUGCAAGUCGAACGGCAGCACAGUAAGAGCUUGCUCUUACGGGUGGCGAGUGGCGGACGGGUGAGGAAUACAUCGGAAUCUACUUUUUCGUGGGGGAUAACGUAGGGAAACUUACGCUAAUACCGCAUACGACCUACGGGUGAAAGCAGUGGAUCUUCGGACCUUGCGCGAUUGAAUUAGCCGAUUUCGGAUUAGCUAGUUGGCGGGGUAAAGGCCCACCAAGGCGACGAUCCGUAGCUGGUCUGAGAGGAUGAUCAGCCACACUGGAACUGAGACACGGUCCAGACUCCUACGGGAGGCAGCAGUGGGGAAUAUUGGACAAUGGGCGCAAGCCUGAUCCAGCCAUACCGCGUGGGUGAAGAAGGCCUUCGGGUUGUAAAGCCCUUUUGUUGGGAAAGAAAAGCAGCAGGUUAAUACCCCGCUGUUCUGACGGUACCCAAAGAAUAAGCACCGGCUAACUUCGUG
rnacentral:rRNA from 1 species